GGCGCACGGACACCCUGGAACUGAAACACGGUCCAGACUCCUACGGGAGGCAGCUAUGGGGAAUUUUGCUCAUUGGGGGAAACCCUGACGCAUCAUCGCCUCGUGGAGGAUGAAGUCUCUUGGGACGUAAACUCCUUUCGAUAGGGAAGAUAAUGACGGUACCUAUAGAAGAAGCCCCGGC
rnacentral:rRNA from 1 species